GAAGGCCUGCUGCCAUAGUGGCUGGGAAUCCAGAGCAUGGGCUCUGGCCGAGCCCCUGGGUGCUGGGGAGCAGAGGCUGGAUUAGCCAUGGGUUCUGCACUAGGUGGGCAGUGAAGGUCAACAAUAGUGGUCCAGGAGGGAGAGACGGCUUGAGGGAUGUGUCCACCGAGCCCAGUGACUGGGAUACUGGUAUGGAGUGAGGAGUGUGAGGUGGAGGGACCAGGCAGAGUGGGGGUAGGGACAGAAGUUCCUAUGCCACCAGAUCCUCAGAGGGCCCCUGGUUCUCUAACUGCAUUACCCUCAGGAUGGAUGGGUGACAGCGAUGGAUGGAUGGGCCACUGGAUGGACCGUGACAGUGUGAAUGCACAAAGGAGGGGCUGCUGGACCAGACCCCCGAGGCACUUGGCCCAACGACGACGUCUCACCUCCACGACCGACCGGCGCUAUCACAGCUCAUCUGCCAGCCUGUUCCACUUGUGCCAAAUGAGAGGCAAAAAGGGGUCCUUUCUUGUUCGAUUUGCAAGCACUGGAUCAUUGCAGAGGUUGAGCACCUGUUGGAAUGUUUAACAGAUGUUUAUUUACGUUACUACUGGGAAGGACCUAUCAUAUAGCCUUUGAUUUUCUUCCUCUCUUCUUUUUAUUUAUUUUUUUUUGGUGGGGAGUGUAUUUUUAUCUCUUGCAUUUUUGUAUUUUGAGUUUCACAAAUGAUCUCCCACUGUGUAAUGAUUAAAGUUAUUACACCUCAUGGUGGGUGGACCAUUUGGAAAA